rnacentral:lncRNA from 1 species
AAUAUACACAUAUACUGGGGUUCCUGGUCUUCCAUUUCUCUUUUUAAGACAAUGAACAAGAACUUGGAAUUCUCUGGUAACAUAAUUUCUCUGUAUCCACAGGUGUACUGCAGUGAAUCACUACCCUUGCAUCAUCAUUCAGACAACAAAGAACACUGGAUAUGACUUAAAAUGUUCCUGUAUAUCUGUUGUGAAUGUGAAAAGAAUUACUUAUAUGAGUUUUUUGUCUCUCUUUUUCAGUCUGAGGAGACAGAUUGCUUCAGUUCACCUUUAGCCUGAUACAGAUGCCCACCUAGAACAACAAGAAUCUUAUGUUCACUUGUCUUCUCUUGAUAAUGUCUGCAGACCACUGCUCUGCUAGGUCAUGGAUGACAACAUGUGUUUCCACAUCUUUUGGGAGAAAGGAGGGAAAGAGCUCUGAAUGCAGAUUGCUGCAUAUGCAAUUUUAUAUAUGCAGGUCAUGACCCUGGCCAAGUAAAAAUUGAAAUGUCAGUGAAACAAAAAAAAAAAUCUAUGUUUCAACAGUCUGAUGAUGAAAAGCUCCUUUCUCCAGUUGAAAUAGAAUGAACUGGAUGACUGAAUUCUCCUAAUUCUGUAAUAUUACAUCUGAAUGUCUUCUCCAUAAUGAAGUGAAGGUAAGGUAUUUAUCAAUAAUUACAUUGCACUUCAGGGGUUUUUGAAACUGGCUUAUUUACUCCUGUUCAAGUUUCAAAGCUGUCCAUGUACCAGACUGAAAUUUUUCAGUUAUGUAUUUAUUUGUGGAGGAAUACCAAUCAGGUACAAG